ensembl:lncRNA
UUCUGUGUGGAGUUUGCAUGUUCUCCCCGUGCCUGUGUGGGUUUACUCCGGGUACUCCGGUUUCCCCCACCAUCAUAAAGACAUGCAUUGCAUCGUAUGAAUAUGAAUGAAUGUUGGUGGUGGUCGGAGUGGCCGUAGGCGCUGAUUGGCAGCCACGCUUCUGUCAGUCUGCCCCAGGGCAGCUGUGGCUACUGAUGUAGCUUACCACCACCGGUAUGACUGUGUAUGUAUGAAUGACUACUGGACUCUGGACUCUGUAAAGCGACUUUGGGUAUUUAGAGAAGCGCUAUAUAAGAUUGAAUUGAUUGAUUGAUUGACUGUGAGUUAAUAUGAAGCUCUCUGUUCAUUUGACACAGAACCCAAGACACACUUCCAGCAGAGGCUCAGGCUGAAGGUCGUCCUCCAGAGAGAGCUCUCCCCGUCUGAUAUUGCUCAACAGAUCAGGGAGAAGCUGAUUCAGAUGGGCCACCCCAGUGACAUCACAGUCAAGAUGGUGUGAUGCUGACUCACCGGGGAAGGAGGAAGAAGGACCUCUGAUUGAGGACCAUCAGAAUGCCUGUUUAAUUCUAUUUUUUAUAUUCUUUUAAUUCAACACAUGAGCUGUGUCUCAAAUAGCAUACACCCAUUUCCACAUGAAUGCAUAUGAAGAAUGUUACUGAAUGCAAUGCAAACACAUACACUCAUACUUAUAUAAUCUCUUUCUAUAUUCACAUAUAUAUUACAUACUGUCAGAAAGUACCUACUUUUCACUGUGAUAAGAAUGUUAAACAAAUCCCCCUCUUCAGGAGGGCACUAAGAGCUCUGCUAAGAACUAUAAAACUCUCCACCAAUGGUACUACCUGACACUUCAAAUAUAAAUCUUUGUCAUUUUUGUGGUCUUGAAAUGUUUCUCCAUAUCAUGAAUAAUUUCCUACAAUAACCAACAGCAUAGCCUUUUCCAGAUCUGAAUGUCACGAACUGGACCGGUUCCUCCAGAUCUGUGUCCCUAUGUCCUGCCAUUUUGUGCUGUGUUUUGUGUGUCACGUUCCCUGUUUCUCCAAGCUGUGUUCUUCCUGGACUCUGCACAUCCUGGUCUCUAACGAAUGACUGAAUUAUCCGCUGGCGAGCAGGAUAUGAACAUGAACACUUAUGAAGAAUACAAGACCAUAAUCAUGGAAAAAUCCAACACCGCCACCGCUGUGAGAGCAAGACAAGAAGAGGUGUGUGAGGUGGUCUAUGGGUAUAGGGUGAUAUCUAUGUAUGAAUGCGUGACGGCAAGUGUGAUCUGGUACAGAGGAUAGCGCUGCUGGUUAGUAACUGCAAGGUUGCUAGUUUGAUUCCCCCUACCUCAGUGUAGUUUUAAAUUUCCUUGUAAGUCGCUUUGAAUAAAAGCGUCUGUUAAAUG